GAUGAACGCUGGCGGCGUGCCUAAUACAUGCAAGUCGAGCGAACAGACGAGGAGCUUGCUCCUCUGACGUUAGCGGCGGGCGGGUGAGUAACACGUGGAUAACCUACCUAUAAGACUGGGAUAACUUCGGGAAACCGGAGCUAAUACCGGAUAAUAUAUUGAACGGCAUGGUUCAAUAGUGAAAGACGGUUUUGCUGUCACUUAUAGAUGGAUCCGCGCCGCAUUAGCUAGUUGGUAAGGUAACGGCUUACCAAGGCAACGAUGCGUAGCCGACCUGAGAGGGUGAUCGGCCACACUGGAACUGAGACACGGUCCAGACUCCUACGGGAGGCAGCAGUGGGGAAUCUUCCGCAAUGGGCGAAAGCCUGACGGAGCAACGCCGCGUGAGUGAUGAAGGUCUUCGGAUCGUAAAGCUCUGUUAUUAGGGAAGAACAAAUGUGUAAGUAACUAUGCACGUCUUGACGGUACCUAAUCAGAAAGCCCCGGCUAACUACGUG
rnacentral:rRNA from 1 species